GACGUAGGAGCCAAGCGUUAUCCGAAUUCACUGGGCGUAAAGCGCGUGCAGGCGGCCUGGAAAGUUGGAUGUGAAAUCUCUCGGCUCAACUGGGAGAGGCCGUUCAAGACUAUCAGGCUCGAGGGCGACAGAGGGAGGUGGAAUUCCGGGUGUAGUGGUGAAAUGCGUAGAUAUCCGGAGGAACACCAGAGGCGAAGGCGACCUCCUGGGUCGUACCUGACGCUCAGACGCGAAAGCUAGGGGAGCAAACGGG
rnacentral:rRNA from 1 species